GCUCAGUGGGUAGAGUACAAAGCUCUUAACCUUGUGGACGUGGGUUCGAGCCUCAU
rnacentral:tRNA from 1 species